UCUUGAGCGAGUCGAUGUCUCGGUCGCUUCUACUGUAGCGACGGCGAUCAUUUCGAUGGCGAUUUAGAGUCUGAAAAAACUGAUGACAUGUCUGAGGAUGACGAAAAGGAAGUAGACGGUAAAGCGGCCAUUGUUUCAAAGGACACUUAGAUCGUGAGGGUUCUUGCUCAAAUAUUGUCUCUGAUACAAUAUCUAACUUUUUCAGGUUUGUGCAGGAAUAUUACAUACAUACCGAUGCAUCUUCAGUCAAAUAAUGUCUUAAAAGCAGCUACUCAAAUAAGUCUCUGAGGUAAGCAUUGUUUUAUUUGUUAGAAGAAGAGUUGUCAGAAUGUUGUGUCCUGCACACUGAAACUUUAGAGCGUGUCUACUAUAUUCUUUUACAUCCCUUGGACUUAAUAGUCUCAUGUGUACAGUUAAUUCAAUCGGUGGUGAAGGGUGUACGUAUUAACCAAAAAAGCUGUACUUGAACAGAACUGGAAGAAAGUUAAGACUGAAGAAUGUACUGUUUUUUUUUUUUUGAACACCAAGAAUGUACUGUUUAUUAAUUGUCAUGCACCCUCUUUAUUUUUUGCAGUCUCUGAAACCAGAAGCAACUUAAAGCGGAGCCAGACUAUUGAAGCACAUCCUGCUUCAUUUUCUCAGUCUAAGGUAAAGUAUGUUGUUCUUUUGUGAAUUCAUUUCAAGUCUAAUAUUUAAAUGUAGUAUGAAAAAAAACAAUAUUAAUGAUAUGUACAUAGGAAUGUGAAUCCUUCUAUUCUUAUUUUCUUUGAAAUCAAGAGCUUCAAUGCUGGACAGAUAACAGCAAAGUCAUUUAGCUUGGUGCACAAACAGGUUAGGUUUCUCCACUGCUUGAUAUUUUCAUGGUUAUUUUGCAUCUUUCGCUACAUUUGUAGGAAAUAGUUUUUUUUUUGCAGGAAUACCAUCAGUUUCAAAUAGGCAGGCAGAUCCCUUUUUCCCAAAUGCAUGUUUGUAGUUGCAUUACAAGUUAAUUUAACUUUUGUAGUUUCUGGUGAAAAAUCAUAGCACAUUUUUUCCCCACAGGUCUCUCACAAUUUCACUUGGUAUAUGUUAUCACUAAGCUUGACAUGUUAUUUGUAUACAACUUAGAGACUGCUUCUGCUAAUCUACGGAAAUCUGAUAAGUCCACACCCAAUUUUCUUAGACUUUUGAAGCUUUCUGAGUUGGAGGGUUUUAUGCCAGUUGGACAAGUUCUUUUGGCUAAAAAUCUACAAUAAUACCUUUUAUUAGUGGUCCAAUGUGCAUAACCUUAUUUUUCAGUUUUUCACAGUAGAACUAUCUAUUUCAACUUGCCAUGUGAAGAACACUAUGCUAUUGUAUAACAGUUGAACAAUUUCGAAAAUCUGAUUUGUUUCCUUGGUUCAGAUGAGUGGACCUGUUCUCUUGCUGAAAUAUUUAUAGUUAACGAACAGAACACAGUCUUAAAUUUUCCGUUCUAGAAAAUUUUUGCAAAACAAUUUGUAGCUUUCGUUUCUAUAAUUGACGUGGUUUUUAAUCUCUUCAUUUUUUUUUAAAUGGAGCAAGAUUUUUCGUAGGUGUUUCUUUUUUUGCUGCAGUGUAUGUAACAAAAUAGAAAGAGUUCUUUCCCCAAAGAAAAUUAGAAUUAAGCUCAAAAGUUGUAAUGCAUGUGCAUCAGCAGAAGUGCUUCAAAGUUCAAAUGUAUCUCGCAUGGAAACAACAGGUCUGUAAGACAUUUUGACCUCAGGUGAUGAUGAUGAUAGGUGGUAGGUGAUUUUAGUGGCAAUGAUAAUGAGGAUAGGUGGCAGGUGGUGAUGUUACAGUUGGUUUGUUUCUUGGUUGUCUCGAUUAGAGACACAAAGAAUGGCAUGAAGCUUUUGAUAUACACAACUUUGCUAUGUAAUCUUUAAAAAAAUUUAUAUCCAAAUCUAAUUAUAUAAAAGAAGGUUUGCUCUCUCACUAGAGAGACACGUAGGAUGCCACAUAGAAAAACCAUCUCAGGGUGUUGUGACACGUGUCCCGACCGGUGUUGCGCUGCGUUUCAUUUAAUAAUUUUGUUAAAGUACUGGGCUGCGUGUUUCGAUUACCGUUUUGAUACAAAUUUGAGCCCCAUAAUUAUUGUCCCAUCUUGCAUUCGUUUCUUCUUCCUCUUGUUGUUGGUUUCUGUGAUUCACUUCAUCUUCCCUCAGUAAAUAGGUUCUCAGUUUUAAUUCAGUUCUCAUUUAAUAGAUUCUUUGCUUUCGUCAAUUCUCUGAAUCUGUAGCUAUAAAUAGAUGUAUUUGCAUCUGUAGAAUUUAUCAUUCUAUUUUUCACAAUCAUAUUAAUACUGAAACUUCUGCAGAUUAAGAUGGCAAGCUCCUCUGUGCUCCUCAUAUAUUGGGUGUAGAUUCUGGUUCGAUGUUGUAAAGAAUGUCUAGAUUCGACAAUCUUCGAUAUAACUUUCUGUCUUUUGCUUUUGAGAAUGAAGGGACAAAGGAUAACCUUUAGUGGGCAAAUUCUUAACUAUGAGAACACAGUGGCACAAGUGGUGGAACUCCUUGGAGAUGAGAAUACUGCAGCUGAUUUACGAUGAUGGUUUGGGAAGCAAUAGCUAUCUUAAUAAUUAUUCCAUGUAAGUUUUCUCAACCCGUUUUAGUCUGUUUCAGCAAUAUAUUUGAAUGAACAGUAUUAUGAACAUGGUUUGUUCCAAAUCAAUAUUAAGUUUAAAGCUUAAAGAUUCCUGAAGAAAAUAUUCAAGUGUCAUAAAGUAAUUUGCCUAGGAUUUCAUGUCGGUUAUAAAGUCUACAUAUUAGCUAUGUUUGAGAGAAUCGGGACUUUUGGAAAAGCGAAUUCGAGAUUUAGAGAUAUGAAAGCGUCAGUAACAGACUUGGUUGCAUUGAGACUAACAAGAAAGUGAAAAGCUACUGGCUUGGUCUCAACGAGUUUGCAGAUUUGAGCCACGAAGAAUUCAAGAACGAGUAUUUCGGGCUCAAGACUGAUAUAGAAAGAGGCGAUGAUGAAAGAUCCUACCAAGAGUUUGCUUAUAAGGACGUUGACGUCGAAGCUUUGCCUAAAUCUGUUGACUGAAGAAAGAAAAGAACCAAGGCUCUUGCGGAAGUUAUUGGGCGUUUUUGAUAAUUGCUGCAGUGGAAGGUAUAAACAAAAUUGUGACAGGAAACUUGACAAUAUUGUCUGAACAAAAACUCAUAGACUGUGAGUCUGUGACACAACUUACAACAAUGGCUGCACCAGAAACGAAAACGGCGAUUCCAACAACAAGAGAUGUUGUCUCAUGGAUUACACUUUUGAGUACAUUUUCAAGAACGGAGGUGUUCGCAAGGAAGAAGAUUAUCCUUACUCUAUGGAAGAAGGAACCUAUUAGACGCAAAAAAAAAAAUUAUGUUACAGCGAAAAAUGGAUUAAAUUGGUAUAUACUAAUUCUCUUUGUUUUAAAACAGGAUGAAUCUGAAAUGGUGACUAUCAAUGGGCACCAUGGGCACCAAGAUGUACCGAAAAAUGAUGAGAAAAAUCUCUUGAAGGCGUGUGCUCAUCACCUCUCAGUGUCGCUAUUGAUUCUUUUGGUAUAGAGUUCCAGUUCAUAGCGGUGAAAGAUGUUUGAAAUAUUGUGUUUUGGUAUAUGAAGGGUGUCUUUGAUGGGCCAUGCGGUGUCAAUUUGGACCUUGGUAUUGCUGCAGUUGUGUAUGGAUCAAGCAAGGGUUCAGAUCAUUGUGAAAUUUUUUGGACCAAAAUAGGGAGAGAAAUGUUGCAUCAGGACGAAGAGGAACACUUAUAAACUAGAGGCUCUCUGUGGAAUCAAUAAGAUGGCUUCUUUCCCCCACUAAAACAAAGUGAUAACAUCAUUUUAUCUUAUCUGCAUUUCAUCACUAUCUUCGUAACAACAUGAGAUUGUUAUUUUAAUGAAUAGAAAUGUUGUAACAACUGUGAGCAUUAACCAAAAAUACGAU